AAUAUACUAAUAAAAAAAAAAGUGAGACCUCAGAAUAUAUAACAUAUAGCCAUAUGUACUCUACUGGCACAAUCCUUAAAUAUUCAACGGUUAAUACUGGGUUAUUCAAGAAUAGCUGAGAAGGGUAAAA